UAUGCCUGGACAUGUGUGUGUGUGUUGGG
rnacentral:piRNA from 1 species